ensembl:lncRNA novel transcript
AGGCCAGUCUGGUUGAGUCUGAAACUGCCAUCUCACAUGCAAUUUCGCACUCAUCUUGUCCCCCACUGAAGGGCUGGCUUAGCCUUGGCCGGAGAGCCCUGGAGAAGGAGGGGAGAGGUCGGGGGGACUGGCUGCGGUCCUUCCUCUUUCUCCUGGCUUCUGGGGUUGGGAGGGGAAGAGGAGGAAGAGGAGGAGGAGGAGAAGGUCUGGAGUGUCGGCACAAUAGUAAUAUCAAUAACAAUAGCAGCUAAUAUUUACUGCAAGUGGUUCUCUGGGUCUGGAGAUGCUCCAAGCACUUUUCUGACCGAUGCAAACUUCAUAAAACCAUUUUGUUCAUCUCUUCCUGAUACCUGGUAUGCGCUCACUAAAUGCUUGGGAACGUGAAUGAAUGAAUGAAAC